GGAGUAUGUGGCGGACCUUCUCCAGUUCCAUUGGAGGAGGCCAUGUUUGCAACCGGGGGCAGAGGCGGAUCAAUCACGUCUUUGGCAUCAAGAGGUGGGUUUGGCGCACUAGCUGGUGGUUGUGCUUCCUUGUCUGCAACGGAGAGUAGAGCGCCAGCUUCUGCAGGUAAGAUGGCAUAGGGCUGGUCUUUGUUUAAAUCUGAGCAUGGACUCCCUGCAUUUGCAUCAAAUAUAAUUGAUCAGCCUUAUCUUUGUAAUGUGCAUAUAUAUAUUCUUGUAGAAGUUUUAACUUACUUAAGUAUCUGGUUGCGGUGGCAGGGAACUCUGUGAUUACUCCAUCGACGCCACUCCCUGCAAUGAAUGUUGCAAGCUCUACCGUAGGAUCAGAGAAGUAGUCGAACGCUAUGGAGAUGUACU
rnacentral:lncRNA from 1 species